rnacentral:sRNA from 1 species
AAUGGACAGGGCUCUUCCAUCCACUCACUGGCUGAGAUACUCAAAGAUCUUGGGCUACCUUUCAUCUUGCUCCUGAACAUCCACAGCUGAGAUGUCCUGUCAGCAGAGCCAGCAGCAGUGCCAGCCCCCUGCCAAGUGCCCUCCCAAGUGCCAGACCCCAAAGUGCCCUCCAAAAUGUCCCCCAAAAUGUCCUUCCAAGUGCCCCCCUGUUUCUUCCUGCUGUAGCCUGGGUUCUGGGAGUUGCUGCAGUUCUGGUGGCUGCUGUGGCUCCAGCUCUGGUGGCUGCUGCAGCUCUGGGGGAGGAGGCUGCUGCCUGAGCCACCACAGACCCCGCAGAUCUCUCCGUCGCCAUCGCCACAGCUCUGGAUGCUGCAGCAGUGGUGGCAGCAGUGGUUGCUGUGGCAGCAGUGGUGGCAGCAGUGGCUGCUGUGGCAGUAGCCAAGCAGUCUGGGGACUGCUGCUGACCUGAGUGAGGAAGAAUUCAGACAAAUGGUGCUGGGAGUAGCACAUGCUACAGAAGACACCCGAUGCCUGUUGUUCUCUUUCUCCUGCUUUCCUCCUCACCCUGCUCUCUGAGUGCUGAAUCUCCUGGGAAAUGUUCUGUAUCUCCUCAACAAAUGAAAAUGCCCGUUUGCCCCUUUGUUAUAAAUUAAAAGAACCUUGACCACCA